rnacentral:rRNA from 1 species
UACGUAGGGAGCAAGCGUUGUCCGGAAUCAUUGGGCGUAAAGCGCGCGUAGGCGGCCCCGUAAGUCCGCUGUGAAAGUCAAAGGCUCAACCUUUGAAAGCCGGUGGAUACUGUGGGGCUAGAGUCCGGAAGAGGCGAGUGGAAUUCCUGGUGUAGCGGUGGAAUGCGCAGAUAUCAGGAGGAACACCUGUGGUGUAGACAGCUUACUGGACCACUUCUGACGCUGAGACACGAAAGCGUGGGUAGCAAACAGG